GACGAACGCUGGCGGCGUGCUUAACACAUGCAAGUCGAACGAAAAGACGGAAAGAGCUUGCUCUUUUCAGAAUUGAGUGGCAAACGGGUGAGUAACACGUAAACAACCUGCCUUCAGGAUGGGGACAACAGACGGAAACGACUGCUAAUACCGAAUAAGUUCCAAGAGCCGCAUGGCCCAUGGAAGAAAAGGUGGCCUCUACCUGUAAGCUAUCGCCUGAAGAGGGGUUUGCGUCUGAUUAGCUGGUUGGAGGGGUAACGGCCCACCAAGGCGACGAUCAGUAGCCGGUCUGAGAGGAUGAACGGCCACACUGGAACUGAGACACGGUCCAGACUCCUACGGGAGGCAGCAGUGGGGAAUCUUCCGCAAUGGGCGAAAGCCUGACGGAGCAACGCCGCGUGAGUGAUGACGGCCUUCGGGUUGUAAAACUCUGUGAUCCGGGACGAAAAGGCAGAGUGCGAAGAACAAACUGCAUUGACGUACCGGAAAGCAGCCC
rnacentral:rRNA from 1 species